rnacentral:rRNA from 1 species
GGCCUGAACAUGUUACGCUGUCUGGAGGAUGGCUCGGCUUGAGAGCCGAAGAAGGGCGCGGCAAGCCGCGAUACCGCCUCGGGUAAGCGCAAGCAGCUUUAGAACCGAGGAUACCUGAAUGGGACUUCCUAGUAAUGUUCCUUUACGGAACGGGAACUCCCCGAACGGAAGCAUCUUAGUAGGGGAAGGAAAAGAAACCAAUAUGGGAUUCCCUUAUUAGCAGCGAGCGAAAUGGGAAUAGUCCAAACCGAAUCCCGUAGGGAAACCUGUGGGAGAUGUAGAGUUAAGGGCUCGGAUUUUUCUAAACUGACACAAGUUGAAAUGACCUGAAAAGGUCUGCCACAGAGGGUGAUAGCCCCGUAAACGUACAUCAGCAUGAAUUAUGUCCGGUGUCCCAGACUACUGUACCCUGGCUUGGGUACACAAAGUUGGGAGUCACCAACUUCCAAGACUAAAUACGCCUCAAGACCGAUAGUGCACUAGUACGGUGACGGAAAACUGAAAAGUACCCCGAAAUGGGGGUGAAAAGUGCCUGAAACCAGACAGUAACAGACGUGUGUGGCCCAAAAGAGUAGACCCUUUCUGAAGGAAACCGUUGUAAAGCGGCUGUACGAAGAAAGGCGAUCAGGGUUACACGUUCCGUCUAGAAACACGGGCCGGGGAGUUUAUUGCUAUGGCAAGCCUAAGGAUUAAAAGUCCGUAAGCGCAGGGAAACCGAUAUGCGCGCAACCUCGCAAGGGGUGAGGCGCAAGGUCUGAAAAUGCCUGGAGUCAUAGCAAUACAUACUAGAAACCAGACGAUCUAGCCCUGGGCAGGGCGAAGCUAGGCGAAAGCCUAGUGGAGGCUCGAAAGGGUUCUGACGUGCAAUUCGUUCCCCAGACCUGGGGCUAGGGGCUAAAGACCAAUCUAGUCUGGUGAUAGCUAGUUCCUUCCGAAGUGGGCCUGAGCCCAGUCCCGAGCGAGGCAGCUGGUGGGGUAGAGCACUGAUUGGGAAACAAGGAUUCGAAAGAGUCCACUUUCCUUUCAAACUACGAAUCCACCCGCACUUAAGACCUCGGGAGACGGGUUAAUGGGGGUAAGCUCCAUGACCGAGAGGGGGACAACCCAGACUAAGGUUAAGGUCCCCAAAUGCUGGCUAAGUGUCAAACCAAAGAGCGUCGUCAGCCUCAGACAGCGGGGAGGUAAGCUUAGAAGCAGCUAUCCUUCAAAGAAAGCGUAACAGCUCACCCGCCGAGGCUGACGGCCUCGAAAAUUGACGGGGCUAAGCCAGCUACCGAUACCUUAGAACGCAGCAUAUGCUGCGCUGGUAGGAAGGCGUCCUAGUUGGGCAGAAGCUGGGCUGUGAGGUCCAGUGGACCGAUUAGGAUUGCGGAUCCCGGUGGUAGUAACAGCAAAGAGAAGUGAGAAUCUUCUCCGCCGAAGGGGCCAGGGUUCCCCGGCAACGAUCGUCAGCCGGGGGUAAGUCGAUCCUAAGGCAUAACUUAACCGAUUAUGCCGAAAAAGGGAAUCCGGCUAAAAUUCCGGAACCAUAGAGGUACGCGCGGUAACGCAAGCUUAGUGUUGACGCUUCGGGAUAGACUGAGCAAGGUCUUCGCCUUGUUUAACUUUAUAAACCUGGGGAGUGCCGUAAUGGCGAGAACUAGGUGAAAUUGGGAAUAGCCACCCGUUUUAGGGA